UACAGGGGGUGCAAACGUUGCUCGGAAUCAUUGGGCGUAAAGCGCACGCAGGCGGUUCGCUAAGACAGAUGUGAAAUCCCCGGGCUUAACCUGGGAACUGCAUUUGUGACUGGCGGGCUAGAGUAUGGCAGAGGGGGGUAGAAUUCCACGUGUAGCAGUGAAAUGCGUAGAGAUGUGGAGGAAUACCGAUGGCGAAGGCAGCCCCCUGGGCCAAUACUGACGCUCAUGCACGAAAGCGUGGGGAGCAAACAGG
rnacentral:rRNA from 1 species